AACGAACGCUGGCGGCAUGCCUAACACAUGCAAGUCGAACGAGACCUUCGGGUCUAGUUGCGCACGGGUGCGUAACGCGUGGGAACCUGCCCUUAGGUUCGGAAUAACUCCCCGAAAGGGGUGCUAAUACCGGAUAAUGUCUUCGGACCAAAGAUUUAUCGUCUUUGGAUGGGCCCGCGUUGGAUUAGCUAGUUGGUAGGGUAAAAGCCUACCAAGGCGACGAUCCAUAGCUGGUCUGAGAGGAUGAUCAGCCACACUGGGACUGAGACACGGCCCAGACUCCUACGGGAGGCAGCAGUGGGGAAUAGUGGACAAUGGGCGAAAGCCUGAUCCAGCAAUGCCGCGUGAGUGAUGAAGGCCUUAGGGUUGUAAAGCUCUUUUACCCGGGAUGAUAAUGACAGUACCGGGAGAAUAAGCUCCGGCUAACUCCGUG
rnacentral:rRNA from 1 species